rnacentral:tRNA from 2 species
GUUAAGGUGGCAGAGCCCGGUAAAUGCACAAGACUUAAAACCUUGCACCCAGAAGUUCAAAUCCUCUCCUUAACA